rnacentral:rRNA from 1 species
GGGUUGUGAGGUUAAGCGACUAAGCGUACACGGUGGAUGCCCUGGCAGUCAGAGGCGAUGAAGGGCGUGCUAAUCUGCGAUAAGCGCCGGUAAGGUGAUAUGAACCGUUAUAACCGGCGAUACCCGAAUGGGGAAACCCAGUGUGAUUCGUCACACUAUCAUUAACUGAAUCCAUAGGUUAAUGAGGCGAACCGGGGAACUGAAACAUCUAAGUACCCCGAGGAAAAGAAAUCAACCGAGAUUCCCCAGUAGCGGCGAGCGAACGGGGAGGAGCCCAGAGCCUGAAUCAGCAUGUGUGUUAGUGGAAGCGUCUGGAAAGGCGCGCGAUACAGGGUGACAGCCCCGUACACAAAAGCGCAUGUGCUGUGAGCUCGAUGAGUAGGGCGGGACACGUGGUAUCCUGUCUGAAUAUGGGGGGACCAUCCUCCAAGGCUAAAUACUCCUGACUGACCGAUAGUGAACCAGUACCGUGAGGGAAAGGCGAAAAGAACCCCGGCGAGGGGAGUGAAAAAGAACCUGAAACCGUGUACGUACAAGCAGUGGGAGCACAGGUUUACCUGUGUGACUGCGUACCUUUUGUAUAAUGGGUCAGCGACUUAUAUUCUGUAGCAAGGUUAACCGUAUAGGGGAGCCGCAGGGAAACCGAGUCUUAAUUGGGCGUUAAGUUGCAGGGUAUAGACCCGAAACCCGGUGAUCUAGCCAUGGGCAGGUUGAAGGUUGGGUAACACUAACUGGAGGACCGAACCGACUAAUGUUGAAAAAUUAGCGGAUGACCUGUGGCUGGGGGUGAAAGGCCAAUCAAACCGGGAGAUAGCUGGUUCUCCCCGAAAGCUAUUUAGGUAGCGCCUCGUGAAUUCAUCUCCGGGGGUAGAGCACUGUUUCGGCUAGGGGCCAUCCCGGCUUACCAACCCGAUGCAAACUGCGAAUACCGGAGAAUGUUAUCACGGGAGACACACGGCGGGUGCUAACGUCCGUCGUGAAGAGGGAAACAACCCAGACCGCCAGCUAAGGUCCCAAAGUCAUGGUUAAGUGGGAAACGAUGUGGGAAGGCCCAGACAGCCAGGAUGUUGGCUUAGAAGCAGCCAUCAUUUAAAGAAAGCGUAAUAGCUCACUGGUCGAGUCGGCCUGCGCGGAAGAUGUAACGGGGCUAAACCAUGCACCGAAGCUGCGGCAGCGACACUGUGUGUUGUUGGGUAGGGGAGCGUUCUGUAAGCCUGCGAAGGUGGCCUGUGAGGGUUGCUGGAGGUAUCAGAAGUGCGAAUGCUGACAUAAGUAACGAUAAAGCGGGUGAAAAGCCCGCUCGCCGGAAGACCAAGGGUUCCUGUCCAACGUUAAUCGGGGCAGGGUGAGUCGACCCCUAAGGCGAGGCCGAAAGGCGUAGUCGAUGGGAAACGGGUUAAUAUUCCCGUACUUGGUGUUACUGCGAAGGGGGACGGAGAAGGCUAUGUUGGCCGGGCGACGGUUGUCCCGGUUUAAGCGUGUAGGUGUGUGUUCGGGUAAAUCCGGUUCACUUUAACACUGAGGCGUGACGACGAGGCACUACGGUGCUGAAGCAACAAAUGCCCUGCUUCCAGGAAAAGCCUCUAAGCAUCAGGUAACAUCAAAUCGUACCCCAAACCGACACAGGUGGUCAGGUAGAGAAUACCAAGGCGCUUGAGAGAACUCGGGUGAAGGAACUAGGCAAAAUGGUGCCGUAACUUCGGGAGAAGGCACGCUGACACGUAGGUGAAGUGAUUUACUCACGGAGCUGAAGUCAGUCGAAGAUACCAGCUGGCUGCAACUGUUUAUUAAAAACACAGCACUGUGCAAACACGAAAGUGGACGUAUACGGUGUGACGCCUGCCCGGUGCCGGAAGGUUAAUUGAUGGGGUCAGCGCAAGCGAAGCUCCUGAUCGAAGCCCCGGUAAACGGCGGCCGUAACUAUAACGGUCCUAAGGUAGCGAAAUUCCUUGUCGGGUAAGUUCCGACCUGCACGAAUGGCGUAAUGAUGGCCGGCUGUCUCCACCCGAGACUCAGUGAAAUUGAACUCGCUGUGAAGAUGCAGUGUACCCGCGGCAAGACGGAAAGACCCCGUGAACCUUUACUAUAGCUUGACACUGAACAUUGAGCCUUGAUGUGUAGGAUAGGUGGGAGGCUUUGAAGUGUGGACGCCAGUCUGCAUGGAGCCGACCUUGAAAUACCACCCUUUAAUGUUUGAUGUUCUAACGUGGACCCGUAAUCCGGGUUGCGGACAGUGUCUGGUGGGUAGUUUGACUGGGGCGGUCUCCUCCUAAAGAGUAACGGAGGAGCACGAAGGUUGGCUAAUCCUGGUCGGACAUCAGGAGGUUAGUGCAAUGGCAUAAGCCAGCUUGACUGCGAGCGUGACGGCGCGAGCAGGUGCGAAAGCAGGUCAUAGUGAUCCGGUGGUUCUGAAUGGAAGGGCCAUCGCUCAACGGAUAAAAGGUACUCCGGGGAUAACAGGCUGAUACCGCCCAAGAGUUCAUAUCGACGGCGGUGUUUGGCACCUCGAUGUCGGCUCAUCACAUCCUCGGGCUGAAGUAGGUCCCAAGGGUAUGGCUGUUCGCCAUUUAAAGUGGUACGCGAGCUGGGUUUAGAACGUCGUGAGACAGUUCGGUCCCUAUCUGCCGUGGGCGCUGGAGAACUGAGGGGGGCUGCUCCUAGUACGAGAGGACCGGAGUGGACGCAUCACUGGUGUUCGGGUUGUCAUGCCAAUGGCACUGCCCGGUAGCUAAAUGCGGAAGAGAUAAGUGCUGAAAGCAUCUAAGCACGAAACUUGCCCCGAGAUGAGUUCUCCCUGAGACUUAGAGUCUCCUGAAGGAACGUUGAAGACGACGACGUUGAUAGGCCGGGUGUGUAAGCGCAGCGAUGCGUUGAGCUAACCGGUACUAAUGAACCGUGAGGCUUAACCUUACAACGCCGAAG